rnacentral:rRNA from 1 species
UACGGAGGGUGCAAGCGUUAUCCGGAUUCACUGGGUUUAAAGGGAGCGUAGGUGGCUUUGUAAGUCAGUGGUGAAAUAUUGCGGCUCAACCGCAAAACUGCCAUUGAUACUGCUUAGCUUGAAUCACGUCGAGGUGGAUGGAAUAAUACAUGUAGCGGUGAAAUGCUUAGAUAUGUAUUAGAACACCGAUUGCGAAGGCAGUUCACUAGGCGUGUAUUGACACUGAGGCUCAAAAGCGUGGGGAUCAAACAGG